CUCUAUCCACUGAAGCUGUAUGAAUCAUGCCAUAAUGUAAAUUAAAUAAUCCAAUGUAAAACUUUUUACUUUCUUAACUCCAAUUUAGGUUUAGGGAGCACAUUUAUUAUUUACCUAAAUUAACACUCAGCCAUUCAAGCCUUUGGGUUUUUAGAAAGCAUAGUCUUACUCAGGAUGUUUGUUUGACUUUGAUAUGGAAGAAGUCUUUGAUUUGGACCUUUGCAAGCAGACAGGCACACAGUGCAUACCGAAGGCUUUGGCCACAUCACCUGGGCAGCUGCAUCCUCCAUCCUGGUGAGAAAAGGACACUGUGAGGAAACUGCAACUGUCAUUGGAACAUCGGACUCUCAGAGACAACUCUCAGUGCCUGGUGUACUCGUAGUUGUUUUCACCAUAAACAACUACUCAACACCAGAACUGAACAAUUGUUUUCAGAUCCAUGCCAUUAAGUCUUCUAAAAAAUAAACAUCAGAAAUGUAACAAGGAUCAGGAGUCAGAGGGCAAGGUCUUCAGGCAAAGUCAUGGGAGGACUCACUGAGAUAAUGUGGCCUUUCAGUCCAUGGGCGGAGUCAGCACACUCCAUAACAGCGCUGAGCUGGGGGUACCCCACCCCUGUCUUGAUGCGUGUUGUGCACACAGAACCUGCAGACAGUGUAGCAGUAGCAUGUUGCUAUGAAAGGUAUUGUAAUUUAUACCACUGGUGCAGUUCAUCACACCCCAUUACUGUCAGUCUCUGAGUGGACAUUGCCCAGUCACAGAACAGCUGUAAAAAACAACUUCCAAAGAUUGGACUGUGCUGUAAUUUCAUGCUGGGACUCAAGGGGAUAUCAAAUUUCCACUAAUCAACCCAUUUUUAGGCACAUGAGAUUGUUACAUUAAAGUUCUAGGAAAAUGUUUGGAGGGAUGUACCAAUGUUUAAAAAAAAACACAAAAAUUAAUUUUCUUGGUAUGUUAUUGAUACUUCCAGCAGUGUCCUUUUUAAGCUUCUUACAAUAGAACAUAUUUCAAAUUCCAGUAUUUCAAAGUAUGUUUAAACAGAUACUGCAUAUUUGAGGUGGUUAUAAUAGAUUG